AAAACGGCCCGUUGGUGGCAGCAGGAACGAAGAUAAGACAUUUUUCCCGCAUGUAGGUGAAAUAAUCUGCCGGUGAAACAAGUAUUUUUCAACAAUGGUUUGAGCAUCGGAGGAGAGACGUCCCGAGUUCCUCUACGCCGAGGCAGGAUAACGAUCCGAAGUGCACUAAUAAAGGAUUCUUGCAGCAUUGUUAUCCCAGUCUGAGCCGAAGCUCUGGUGAAGAAAAAUGGAUUCAACUUGUGUUUGAAAUAGAGCAGGAAAAGACUCAGCCUCUUCGGUGAGAUUAAACAGCUUGAGCAAUGAUUUGUUGCAGGCUGGUUGGAUGGAGCGGAUCCUGGAAGAGCGCUAUGCAGGCUGUCAGGAAACGACGUGGACCCGAACUCUGGUUCCUGCUGUCAUUUCCUCCGGGCCACAGCUUCGCUUCACCUUCAUCUGUUUGCUCUUCCAGCUGCUGGUGCAUCCAGUUUAAAGCUAAUCUGGUUUCAUUCGAUGCAUGCGUACUUCCAGCUUGGAAAGUAAAGUUGAGCCUCAGUGGCGCCACCAAUGGGAGGUAAUGGACAUUUAAAAUGACCAAAACCUUUAACCGUAAUUAUUUCCUCCUCUUUCCAUCCGUGG